UGCAGUGAGCCGACAUCGUGCCACUGGACUCCAGCCUGGGCGACAGAGCGAGACUCCCUCUAAAAAAAAAAAAAAAAAAAAAAAAAUGGUUGUUGUUGGCUUAAUGGACUUAGAGGUAUAGGCAGUGGAAUUGUAACCAUGUUACUUAAUUAUGACUGUAUCAAUUUUUGAAACCUAUCAGAGGUUUGGGUCCUGAAUUUUCUAUUCCCAUGAAUAUACUGUCCAUGGCUAAGAAAAGUGGUGAUAAAGAGUUUAAGUAAAAAAACAAAAUAAAGCAAAAAUUAUCUGAAAUAUUCAACUGAGGACGUGUGAAUGAUGUCUGUAGAAGAACUAUUUUUAAAUUCCAGAGGGCAGAUGGCAACUGACUCAUGCAAUUGUUUAAUUCCAAUUAAGCAUUCUCUUUUUUAAUAGUCUCCUUCUGAGGUAAAACUCUGUGGCUGCUGGAUUUGAAGCAAGUCCACACCAAUCAAUAUCAAUCUGCUGCCAAAUUUUAUUAAAUAUCUCUCUGAUACCUAUUUACAACCAAGAAAAUAAUUUCACUGCCAAGGGAUUGUAAACGUGUGAAAAGAACCUCUGACAGCUUACCUCACUCACUGUCUGCAGUUCCGAGCCUGGGUGCUAUGGCCGGGAGACUAAGAUGAAGGACAUAAUUAAGGAAACAUAUGAAGGCUAGCACUGCGCUUGAGAUUAAUUAGCUGUGCGUCAAUAAUCUCAUCAAUAUCCGAUUAACAAAUGACACAUUGCCCAAUGAAACAUAUUGAUUCAUGCACACUCCUCCCUGUUAAUAAAUUGAAGCUGCUUUGCUAAAUGAGAAAGCUGACAAAAUAACAGGCUGCUAAGACUGCCCUGCUAUUGUCAUAAAAAACAUAAAAUUAGCCUGAAGUAUAUAGUACUUAAUUUAGGAGGACUGUCAUUCCACUUAUGAAGCUUGUGAAGGAAUGACUAGAAAAGGGAACAGAAUUUCUUGGAGAACCUGCUCCAAAGGACUAGGGGAAUUUCCCAAGGGCAUGCAUUUGAAAUCAGUAUUAUGCAUAUAGAUGACCCUAAGCUCCCAUGCUUUUCUUAGUGGUGUGCAUGAAAAAAGUUUUGUUUUGCUGUUUUUUCUUUUUAAAGGAUAUCAUUCAAAUUAUGAGAGUUGUUUCAAAUUUUGGAAGUAAUGAUUCAAUAUUCUUCUAUAUGAGAUUAUGCUGAUCAUAUCAAGUAAUACUGUCUUUGGUCUUUAAGAUUAUGUAAUGAGGAAUGUCUCGUAGUGGUGGUGGUGGUGUUGGUGGUGUGUGUGUGUGUGGGUUUGCGUGUGCAUUUCUUGCACAAGCUCUUAGGCAAAUAACUACUUUGUCCCCCACAUGGUGUCCACAUCAGUGGCCCCUGUAUAAAAUGCAUACCAAUGUUUCUCCUCCCUUCUUAUCUGUGUACACUUGCUCCUCUUUGGCCCUAUUUUCUGACGUAAGUUGUUUCAAACCAGGCAGGACGGUCAUGCUGUUAUGAAGGCUAGCGCAAUUAUAAUUUAGUUUUAUCUUUAGCUUGUGACAGAGAGGUGGUAAUAAGGUUGGUCAGGAGGGGAACACUGUGAUAAUGGUGAAGAUGAGGGCUCAAUAUACAUUGAGAACCUGCUGAGAUGGUAGUCAGGAAGAGCCAGAUACCCUGCAGGUGGCCAGAAGAGAAGGCUCUGCUAAUGAAGGGCUGCCUCCCCCUCCACAGCUAGGGAACCCCAGCUUUGGCCCUUGGGACUCCCAUGGAACGUUCUCCAGGAGCUCUGGUGUAGGAGGAUCCCCUCUGAGGAGGAGCUGGUUAAGAGGAUGCAAACAUGUGCUUGCAGAAAACGUUUUCUCACAGUGCACAGUUCCAAGAAAACGCAGCAAGGAGAGGGAUUAGGAGCAUUAACUUUUUUUUUUUUUUUUUUUUUUUUUGAGAUAGAGUCUUUCUCUGUCGCCCAGACUGGAGUGCAGUG
rnacentral:lncRNA from 1 species